rnacentral:piRNA from 1 species
AAGACCGACCUGCGCUUCCAGAGCUCGGC